rnacentral:rRNA from 1 species
GGGUCAGUAGGUUGGUCGUGCCACCGGUACGUACUGGUCUCACUGAUUCCUCCUUCCUGAAGAACCGUAAUGCCAUUAAUUUGGUGUUGCGGGGAAACAGGACUGCUACUUUGAAAAAAUUAGAGUGUUUAAAGCAAGCUAACGCUUGAAUACAUUAGCAUGGAAUAAUGAAAUAGGACGAUCGAUCCUAUUUUGUUGGUUUCUAGGAUUGACGUA